CUGUCGGCCGCACCGUAGCCGCGCCGGUGUAGUCUUCUCUACUAUGCAGGUUUUGUGUCGCUAGUUGGGCGUAUAAAUUCACGGCCAGACAUGGCGGUCUCCGGCCGCGGAUGUUUCGCCCAAUUCGCUCUGGCGGCCUUGCAUACCUGCGCGGCGUGCUGCCGCCGCGUCGCAUUCUUCGUGACAAAUGCAGCAUGCGGUUCCUGCUGACCGAAAGGCUUCCGUUCGUCUACGUCGACGUGUCCUAUGUAGAUACGCGCCAAAUGUAUCGAAGAUAACGCACUACCGGAAAUGAUCGCUCGACAAUAUCGCCCGUGAAUACAACUUGCCUUUGGUUUUCGUGCGACAUCGCUGCUUAUAGUACUUAUAGUGGUCCCGAGAAAGCGUUUGCGAUCUUGCAUGGCUCUACUGGAGAACUUCCACAAACCAACGCCACCUAGAAGAAUGGAUCAGUCGCCUAUCCACAGUCAGCCGCCCACCCACAACCAGACGCCCUUUUCGCCAACCAACGUCACCUAGAAGAAAGGAUAAGCACCUACGAUCCCGGACCUGCGGGUUGAUACCUGAGAAUGCGGGAGCAGCCGCAAAGCAACGGGGACGUGCGACCUCGCCCACGAGAGGAGCAGCCGCAAAGCACCGAUGGGGACUAGGUGCCUGUCAUGUGAUGUUGACGUGAGCAAGAUCUCGCCUACGACUUUAAUAGGCCUAUUUAAAGGGCCCCGCAAUGUACUUUUUCACUUAAUUCUCUUAUCUUUCACCAACCAUUGAAUAAACCGUACAAGUGCCGCACUAGAAA